AUGAAACUUAGUUGGAAGCACCCCAUGGUACGGUAGAUUUAAGUUUGUUAAAAUCAUGAUCCCCUUGGUUUGGGGGGGGGGGACGAAUUAUUACAUAGGAAUAUAGAGAGAACUUCUUGAGAACUGCAAUACUCAAUAUAUGAUUGAUGAUAGGACUAUAAAAUCAUCCUGUUACAAAAAGGGCUCAAAAAUUAACAUAAUAACACCCAGGGAAAACAUUCCAAAAUCAUUUUAUACAGGAUCUUUUCUUCAACACUGUCCACAUAAUUUGUAUAUGACUCAAUAGAGAUGAUUUUAUUGUCCAUUGUUGUUCAGGUGAGCAAUCUGGCCCAUGAGUCUCUGGUUUUUAAUAAAAACUAUUUGGACCUGAGUCACUCAGGUGACCUAUUGCAAUUGGUCCUCGUCCGUCAUCGUGCGUUAACAGUUUUACAUUUUUAACUUCAUGAAAAUUACAAGGCUAAUUGUUACCAUUUUUUGUGUGAAGCAUCUCUAUGGUAAGAGGAAUCUAAAUCGUGAAAUUCAUGACUCUACCACCCCUGUGGUGCCAUGGGCUGGGCCAAAUAUGCCAUAAAAAGCCAAAUUUUUAAAAAUCUCAUUCUCUCCUCCCACAUAUGUGAGGAAAAAACUUAAUGUAUGGUUAUGAUGUCCAUGAAUCCCUCUACUAAAAUGUAAAUUCAUGGCUCCUUGGUUAGGGAUUUAGGCCCUAGAGCAGGGCCAAUAUAGCCAUAUAGUGAAAAUGUAAUAAAUCCUAGAAAAUAUUGUUCUUUACCCCACACUAAAUGCACUUUUUCGCUAAUAUUGUAGGUUUCAUAGUCCUUUUUGAAAGAUUUCAGGCAGGGAGGUGGUUGUCGUUACAAUAUUAUAAUUUUUUCUACUCCAGAAUAAAACUUAAUUAAUGCAUAAUAUAUAAGACUCCUCGACAAAUUUGUGUAUGGGCUAUGGUACUCAGGUGACCGUCAAGACCUAUUGGCCUCUUGUAAAAAAUGAAAUAAUAAAUCUGCAGUAGUUUUGGGGUUUUUUUUUGUCAGUGCCUUCUGGAAAUCUGAUUGAUACAAUAUUUUGAGGUUUAAUAAAUGUUAAAAUCUCAAUAUUUAC
rnacentral:sRNA from 1 species